GACGAACGCUGGCGGCGUGCUUAACACAUGCAAGUCGAACGAUGAAGCUGGAGCUUGCUCUGGCGGAUUAGUGGCGAACGGGUGAGUAACACGUGAGAAAUCUGCCCUUGACUCUGGGAUAUCUGCGGGAAACUGUAGCUAAUACCGGAUACUUUCCCUGGUGGGCAUCCACUGGGGAAGAAAGAAUUUCGGUCAAGGAUGAUCUCGCGGCCUAUCAGCUUGUUGGUGAGGUAAUGGAUCACCAAGGCGACGACGGGUAGCCGGCCUGAGAGGGUGGCCGACCACACUGGGACUGAGAAACGGCCCAGACUCCUACGGGAGGCAGCAGUGGGGAAUAUUGCACAAUGGGCGCAAGCCUGAUGCAGCAACGCCGCGUGAGGGAUGAAGGCCUUCGGGUUGUAAACCUCUUUUAGCAGGGAAGAAGCGAAAGUGACGGUACCUGCAGAAAAAGCACCGGCUAACUACGUGCCAGCCGCCGCCGUAA
rnacentral:rRNA from 1 species